UGCCCCGUAGCCAAGUGGUAAGGCAACGGACUUUGACUCCGUCAUUCCAUGCGUUCGAGUCGCAUCGGGGCAACCA
rnacentral:tRNA from 1 species